rnacentral:rRNA from 1 species
UACGGAGGGUGCAAGCGUUAUCCGGAUUCACUGGGUUUAAAGGGUGCGUAGGUGGGCAGGUAAGUCAGGGGUGAAAUCUCCGAGCUUAACUCGGAAACUGCCGUUGAUACUAUUUGUCUUGAAUAUUGUGGAGGUAAGCGGAAUAUGUCAUGUAGCGGUGAAAUGCUUAGAUAUGACAUAGAACACCAAUUGCGAAGGCAGCUUACUACACAACGAUUGACGCUGAGGCACGAAAGCGUGGGGAUCAAACAGG